GAUGAGCAUGCGUCCCAUUAGCUAGUUGGUAAGGUAACGGCUUACCAAGGCUACGAUGGGUAGGGGUCCUGAGAGGGAGAUCCCCCACACUGGUACUGAGACACGGACCAGACUCCUACGGGAGGCAGCAGUGAGGAAUAUUGGACAAUGGGCGCAAGCCUGAUCCAGCCAUGCCGCGUGCAGGAUGACGGUCCUAUGGAUUGUAAACUGCUUUUGCACAGGAAGAAACAACAUUACGUGUAAUGUCUUGACGGUACUGUGAGAAUAAGGAUCGGCUAACUCCGUGCCAGCAGCCGCGGUAAUACGGAGGAUCCAAGCGUUAUCCGGAAUCAUUGGGUUUAAAGGGUCCGUAGGCGGUUUAGUAAGUCAGUGGUGAAAGCCCAUCGCUCAACGGUGGAACGGCCAUUGAUACUGCUAGACUUGAAUUAUUAGGAAGUAACUAGAAUAUGUAGUGU
rnacentral:rRNA from 1 species